GCAAGUCGAACGGCAGCAGCAGAAAGCUUGCUUUCUGGCUGGCGAGUGGCGGACGGGUGAGUAAUGCAUAGGAAUCUGCCUAGUAGUUGGGGAUAACUUGGGGAAACACAAGCUAAUACCGAAUGUGCCCUACGGGGUAAAGCGGGGGAUCUUCGGACCUCGUGCUAUUAGAUGAGCCUAUGGCCGAUUAGCUAGUUGGCGGGGUAAUGGCCCACCAAGGCGACGAUCGGUAGCUGGUCUGAGAGGAUGAUC
rnacentral:rRNA from 1 species